rnacentral:rRNA from 1 species
CCCUUAGAUGUUCUGGGCUGCACGCGCGCUACACUGAUGCAUGCAACGAGUUUUCGACCUUGCCUGAAAAGGUUGGGUAAUCUGUUUAACAUGUGUCGUGAUGGGGAUAGACCAUUGCAAUUAUUGAUCUUCAACGAGGAAUUCCUAGUAAGCGCGAGUCAUCAGCUCGUGCUGAUUAUGUCCCUGCCCUUUGUACACACCACCCGUCGCUCCUACCGAUUGAGUGAUCCGGUGAAUGAUUCGGACCAGCGUGCUGCUCAGAUCCUGCGCAGUGUGCUGGGAAGUCUAGUGAACCUUAUCACUUAGAGGAAGGAGAAGUCGUAACA